rnacentral:rRNA from 2 species
GAGUCUGAUGGAGCACGCCGCGUGAGUGAAGAAGGGUUUCGGCUCGUAAAACUCUGUUGUUAAAGAAGAACAUAUCUGAGAGUAACUGUUCAGGUAUUGACGGUAUUUAACCAGAAAGCCACGGCUAACUACGUGCCAGCAGCCGCGGUAAUACGUAGGUGGCAAGCGUUGUCCGGAUUUAUUGGGCGUAAAGCGAGCGCAGGCGGUUUUUUAAGUCUGAUGUGAAAGCCUUCGGCUCAACCGAAGAAGUGCAUCGGAAACUGGGAAACUUGAGUGCAGAAGAGGACAGUGGAACUCCAUGUGUAGCGGUGAAAUGCGUAGAUAUAUGGAAGAACACCAGUGGCGAAGGCGGCUGUCUGGUCUGUAACUGACGCUGAGGCUCGAAAGUAUGGGUAGCAAACAGGAUUAGAUACCCUGGUAGUCCAUACCGUAAACGAUGAAUGCUAAGUGUUGGAGGGUUUCCGCCCUUCAGUGCUGCAGCUAACGCAUUAAGCAUUCCGCCUGGGGAGUACGGCCGCAAGGCUGAAACUCAAAGGAAUUGACGGGGGCCCGCACAAGCGGUGGAGCAUGUGGUUUAAUUCGAAGCUACGCGAAGAACCUUACCAGGUCUUGACAUACUAUGCAAAUCUAAGAGAUUAGACGUUCCCUUCGGGGACAUGGAUACAGGUGGUGCAUGGUUGUCGUCAGCUCGUGUCGUGAGAUGUUGGGUUAAGUCCCGCAACGAGCGCAACCCUUAUUAUCAGUUGCCAGCAUUAAGUUGGGCACUCUGGUGAGACUGCCGGUGACAAACCGGAGGAAGGUGGGGAUGACGUCAAAUCAUCAUGCCCCUUAUGACCUGGGGCUACACACGUGCUACAAUGGAUGGUACAACGAGUUGCGGAACUCGCGAGAGUAAGCUCAA